rnacentral:rRNA from 1 species
ACGAACGCUGGCGGCGUGCUUAACACAUGCAAGUCGAACGGAAAGGCCUGCUUUCCCUUGUGGAUUGCGGGUACUCGAGUGGCGAACGGGUGAGUAACACGUGAGUGAUCUGCCCCCAACUUGGGUAUAAGCCUGGGAAACUGGGUCUAAUUCCCGAUAGGACUGCAGGGUGGUGCCUGUGGUGGAAAACGAUUUUCUAGUGGUUGGGGAUGAGCUCGCGGCCUAUCAGCUUGUUGGUGGGGUAAUGGCCUACCAAGGCGGCGACGGGUAGCCGGCCUGAGAGGGUGGACGGCCACAUUGGGACUGAGAUACGGCCCAGACUCCUACGGGAGGCAGCAGUGGGGAAUAUUGCACAAUGGGCGGAAGCCUGAUGCAGCGACGCCGCGUGGUGGAUGACGGCCUUCGGGUUGUAAACUCCUUUCGACCGCGAGGAAGCCACCUGGUUGGAAGGGUGGUGACGGUAGUGGUAGAAGAAGCACCGGCUAACUACGUG